AGGGCGAUAGCUGGGUCAAAUGGUGGAUCCAUUCCCAGCUUUCCAAGAAAUCUCCAUACUGCUUUCCAAAUUGGCUGCACCAAUCUGCAGUCCCACCAGCAAU
rnacentral:pre_miRNA from 1 species